UUCAGAGAAUCUGUAGUAGCUGACAGACAGUGAUUACAUUUAGGAUGAAAUAAUAAUAUAUUAUAUAUGUAGAAAACAUUUUUCCAUAUUGUAAAAUUAGAGUUGAUACCUCUCUCUUUUUGUUCUUUUUGUUUGUGUGUUAUCAGAUGAUUCGUGUUACAUUUUUUUCAUGUUUUAUAAAUAGUAGUAUCUUGUAAUCUUGCAUAGUAUGGGCCAGAUAUUUAUCAGGAAAUAAAGACCUAAUAUAUAGCUAUAAUAUUCUUCAAUUCAUAACUUACAGUGUUUCAUAAGCUCCAGUAUUGUUAGACUCAAAAUGUUAAAUUUAUCUACCUUGAGGCCAGUUUAUAAUAAUCAGCCUUCAUUUCCCAGAGUUCUAUUUGUGGAGAGAACCUUGGAUUUUACAUCAUAGUAAAACUGUUUAGCUCAAAUGCCUCUGGUGUGAACCCGGACGUUUUGCUCCUAGUCCACACCUCUGCUUCUAUGAUUAACUGCAUUUAACAAGGCUUUUAUUUUGAAAGUUGUAAUCAUACGUGUUCCGGUGUAUCGCGUUUAGUCUGACUCUGAGCUUUGACGUGAGGCGUGUGUUUGUUUUGCAGCCUGUCUGAGGACUGGACGCCGGUGAGGAGCGGGUCACACGCCGCUAGAGAGGAGCUGUCAGCGGAGCAAGUGGAGUUUCUCCGGUGAAGUCCCAGCAGAGGGACACGGACGCGGCGACACACGUUUCCUCCGGGUUAAUGUCGGUUUAUCACGUCUUUGAGAGAGAGUUAUUCGACAGGUCCGACCAUGACUUCGGUGUGGAAGCGGCUCCAGCGGGUCGGAAAGAAAGCGUCCAAGUUCCAGUUCGCUGCCUCCUUUCAAGAACUGAUGGUGGAGUGCACAAAUAAAUGGCAACCAGACAAACUGAGAGUGGUGUGGAUCAGGAGGAGCAGACGUCACAGCACAAAGCUCCACAGUUGGCAGCCAGGGAUCAAGAACCCCUACAGAGGCCUGGUGGUUUGGCAUGUUCCAGAGAGUUUAGACAUCACUGUUACACUCUUCAAGGAAGCAACUGCAGAGGAGUUUGAAGACAAAGACUGGACCUUUGUCAUUGAAAAUGAGACAAAAGGCCGUAGAAAGGUGCUGGCAUCAGUUGAUGUCAACAUGAAGAAGUACGCCAGUGCCACGCCGGCCCAGUAUGAUGUAACACUGAAGCUCAAACCACUGUCUGUCAAAGUGGUGGAAGCCACGCUCAAACUCACCAUGUCCUGUGUGUUUCUCAAAGAAGGGAAGGCCACAGACGAGGACAUGCAGAGUUUGGCCAGUCUAAUGAGCAUGAAGCAGAGCGACAUUGGCAAUCUGGAUGAUUUUAAUGACAGUGAUGAGGAAGUUGGAGAGGAGAGACGGGCCAGCUUUGGAACUGGACAUGCUGCUCAUGUCACUGCUUCUGCCCCUCCUACUGCAAGAAUACAUGAUCUGGCCUGGAGGCCUGCAGUUGAGUCAGGCCCCGCAGUAACCUCAGAGAUGGAUUGGAAAACGUCCUCUGGUAUUUCCUCCACCAUCUCGGCCCCAUUUCGUCCUCCUCUGCCUGAACCCCCAGACCCCUCUGUUCCAUCCUCUUUAUCGCGAACCCACAAACGACCACCAAGCACUAACCAGCAGGCUCGGCCUUCCGCCUAUGCCUACUCAUUACCGGCCUUUACACGUGCUCACCCUCCUGCACUUCCCAAAAUUUUCCAGCCCAGUACCGGAUCAGUGGCCAUGUCAGCUCCUCGAAGGCCCCAUAGCUUCCAUUGUGACUCCCAUCAAGCUGAGGCCUUGGAGGCCCUGGUCUUCCCUACCUUCACCCCUCCUGAAGCCCUUUCCACCUCAACUCUCUCCCCUUCCCCUUCAGAUCAAUCUCUCCAUUCUCCCACUUUCUCUGAUACUUCACAAACAGCAUGUCCGAGUGUCUGGAGAGCACAGAGCGUUCCUUCCUUUUCUUCUGUCCCCUCCUCCUCAUCAGCUCCUCUCAGCUCCUUCCCUACUAUACCUCCACCACCUCCUGCUCCCAGACAGCCUAAGACUCGACCCACCUCUGUGGGGGAGCCAGGCUCAGCCCUGACCAGACCCACCAGUCUGCCAUCGGCCCCUGAGACAGCUUCCUGGCAGAGUGAAUGGAGGCCUCCGAAAUCUCAGGCCCCUCUAGCACAGACAACCCUCUCUCCUAAGUUUCUGCGCCUCUCUGCCAGUGAUCAUGGACAGCCUGCAGUGCUGCAGAAAAAGCAGAGAAUAGAGAUGCCAUCUUCAUCCGCUCUGCCCGUUGAUCAGUCAUUAGAGCAGAAACCUCAAGGAGAGUCUGGAUUUGUUCCUUCCUGGAAACCCCAGGUCACCCCUCCAGUACACCCCUCACCUUCCUCUGCUCUUGUUCUCUCCGGACCUCCUCUUCCUCUUCCUCCCCAGCCUCAUAUAUUCCAAACUGCUGUAGCCUCCCCCAGUGACCAAGACACAGAAUUCAAAAGACAGUUGAGCACACUGAGUGAAGAGGAUAACCAGAAUACAACACCUACAAGCCCUGAUAUCCCUACUGGCUGGAGGCCAGAUCCGUCCAGAGCUUCAGAACAGAAAAGAGACGUGCACUUUGGAAUCAAGGUCGUCAAGACAUCAGCAGGACCUGAGAGCAUGGCCUCACUUCUGGCCCUUAGCCCCAGAACACCCUUAGCCCCAGGGCUAAAAUAUUUUGAGAUGCCAAAAACACAGAUGGAUCAGCCAGAAUCACGGCCGACAACGACAUUCCCCAACGUCCAGCCAGUACUUCCUCCCUAUUCUACUGUGCCUACACAAAACCCUGAUUUUCAUGAUGCAACCACUCCAGUCAAGGAGCUUCUGGUCCAACCAACGAGUCACUUGUCUAAGAUGUCCAUUCAGUUAGGGAAUACAAUAACUCAACCAGAGCCUGUUCAGCAUAUACCCUAUUCUCCUACUGACACCCAACCUACUUCCAGAUCACUCCAAGGACCUUUGUUGCACUUGCCUCAAAUUGCUACAGCCUCUGACACAAAACCAAUAGAAAGGAUAGGAAUGGCCCACAAAAAAGAAGCUGUUUCUAUGGAUUUGGGAAAUGAGACCAUGACUGCUUCAGUGUCGUCUUGUCUCAGAGACACCAAUUCUACUUUUCCUCCAAGGGUGAUGAAUAAAACACCAGAAGCUCAGACUGGAGAGCGGCCCAUUACAACAAACUCACAGAGGGAGAAACCACAUAGAGACACUGUAAAAAUCAGCCCCACUGUUCCAAUACCUGUUUUGGAUAAGAAAAUCACAUGCAACACAACCACCUCGGACCAAGUCACUUCAAGAUUGGACUGUCAUUUUGGGAUUCUCUCAGAACAGCAGGCCACAACAAAGAAUUUGUCAAAUCAAAGCGAAGAAUCUAGUGUGAAUUUUGCAUUGUCUUCAACAAAUAGCUUUGGUGUGUGUGGUUUGGAGUCAGAGCAUUGUAUGGAGGAAGGGAGAACUGAAAAUGUGGCUUGUUCUAUGGAUAAGAGGCCAUUGUAUGAAAAAGAUAGAGUUACACAGGAACUUGUGUUACCAAGCUCAGCAGUCAAUGUAGAAGAAAAAUGUGUGUACAUAUCUAAGGCGGAUCUUGGUCCACUAUGUCCAGGAGGGAGUUCUGUUUCUCAAUUACCAACUUUACAGCCUAAAGCUCAGAUUGAAGGAACAGUGAGUAUGACUGAGUUACUCUCAAGUUGCUCACAAUAUUCCAAGAUUCCUGGCAUGCCAUCUUUACAUCAGUCACAAGUUAUACCUUGGCCAGAUGAUAAGAGGUUACUUUUUCAGAAGGUAUCUACCAAGAGAUUGCCUUUACUCCUGUAUUUAGAUAAUGUUAGUUCCAUUUAUGAGGGUAGUGUAGGAAUUACAAAAAUGGUGAACGUAGCACCAUCAUGCUCAAGGUCUGCCAGUAUUCCUGGAUUCCCAACUGCUUUGAAACGAGAGCUGAGUAUGGCCAACCUUUUACCUGUAUGUCCCAAAAUUAGCAGGGUCCCAGGUUUAGCUUCUGUGGGAUCAGUGAAUGGAUAUGAAAAUAAUGUUUGGGACAGAUUUUCUCUGUGGAAAAGAACAUUGCAGAUAGAAGAAGCAUUUGUUUCACACAUGUCUUGUGUCCAGCGAGAAGAUGUCAGUGAUACUAGUAUGGUUAAAGUCAUGGUGUCCAUGUUGCCAACAUGUUCUAGAAAGGCAAGUGUUCCAGGCUUUCCAUCUGCACCACUGCAAAAGGCUUCAAACACUCCAAGUAUGGCCAAUUGUCUCCCUACAUAUCCCAAACAGACAAUGAUUGCAGGAAUGCCAUUUAGACAAAGAAUUGUGGCAUACAAUGAUGACUGGCACAUUUUGAGAGAAUUAAUAUUAGAUAGACCAUUGAGAAACAAUCCUGUUCUGGUUCAUAAGUCAUAUGGGGACAAAGAAAGUCUAAAAUAUAUGGUAAAUAUUUUACCAUCUUGUCCCUGGAAGGCAACCGUUCCUGGUUUUCCAUCUGUGCCAAAAAAAGAACCUGGUGUACAUGGUGUUCCAUUUUCACCAAGGCAAGAUCCGAGCAUGGCAGAUUUCUUUCCUAGUUGCCCAAGAAAAACCAGAGUCAUUGGUUUACCCUCUAAGGAGCCAGUUAGUGCUCAAGGUGAAGGUUUGGUUAAAACCAGGCAUAUUGUGAUGGCGAAACCAUUGAGUAAAGGUGAAGUCCUGAUUCAAGAUAUUUCCCCAGGUGCUGCUGAAGAUGUAGACAAAAGAGAAAUUUACAGCUCAGUGGCAAUCUUGCCCUUAUGUCCUGUGAGAUCAUGCCUUGUGGGUAUACCCACAGCACCCCAGAAGCUGUUACUGAAUAUUGUCAGUCUUGUAUCUAUGUGUGGUAAACAAACCCAAACUCCUGGUAUGCCAUCUCGAGAUCAAAACAAUUCAAAGAACAACAAAUGGCAUGCUUUGAGAAGAUUAAUUAACAAAAAACCAGAGAAGAAUAUAGAAGCUUACAUCGUUCAGUGGAUACCAAAAGACACAGAAACCAUUAAAGAUGGCAGAAUGGUAGCUAUGUUGAUAAGCUGCCCACAAAAAGCCAAUGUCUUUGGCAUACCCUCUGCUCCACAGCAAGAACCUAGUAUGGUCAAUGUAAUGCCCUCUUGCCCCAGACAUAGUGGAAUCCCUGGUUUGCCUUCAAAGACUGGACAAAAACUUUGUUUGUCCGGCUGCAAGGAAUGGUUUGUUUAUAAAAGCUUACAGUGGGAUAGUCCACUUGUCAAAAGAAAAGUGCAGAUUCUAAAUGCAGUUUCAUGUUUUGAUAAGAACACUUUUGAAAGAAUGAGUGCAAUAUUACCCUCUUGCCCUGAGAAUGCUAGUGUACCUGGGUUUCCCUCUGCUCUGACACUGACAUUAGCUGAUGGCCCAACUAUGGUGGCUCUAUUGCCUAGUUGUACAAAGGAAUCUAGAGUUCCUGGAAUGCCAAUUAGAGACUCCACCAAACAGGUACAGUGGCUAAUGGAAAGAAUGUGUCUGCUAUUCUCCAGGGAGAAGGCCGCGGUUACAUUAUAUUUAGAUGAUCUUAAUAAGUUCUAUCAUGAAUGUGAUGAGAUCAAAACUAUGGUAUCCAUAUUGCCCCUCUUCCCACAGGCAACCUGUUUACCAGACUUCCCAUCAGUACCAUGUCAGAUGUCAGCAGAUAUGCCAAGUAUGAUAAAUCUGCUGCCUACUUGUUCAACACAUUCCAGAGUUUGUGGAAUACCAUCUAGAAUCCACAGUGAAUCUGAUGAAGCGGAAUGGAAUGUAGACAAACAGCCAGUAUGGGAAAAGCCAUUAACAAACCCAGGAAAAGUGUCAGUAACACAUGACCAUAAGAUUUAUUUUAGAGAGAAGGGAGUGCUCAGAAUAAUGGUAUCAAUGUUGCCAUCAUGUCCCAAACACUCUAAUACUCUUGGAGUUCCGUCAAAGAUAGGAGAGAGAGCAGUGGAAGCUUUGGUGAAAGAGGCUCCCAGCAUGUUGAAAUCCUUAGCCACUUUCCCAAAACAAGGUAAAAUUCCAGGUCUACCUGCAAAAAAUUUUGCAAAAGAGUGUGAUAGCUGGUGUUUGAACAGGAGAGCAUUUUGGGAAAAGCCAUUCCAUAGAACGUAUGGAGUGGUUUACAGAGAUUUUACAGUUAAGGAAAUGUCAUAUAGGGACAAGGAAAUAAUGUUGAGUAUGCUUCUAUCAUGCCCACGACAAGCCCUGACUCCUGGAUUUCCAUCUGCUCCCCAAGCUGUUGAUGCCAUAGUAGAAAAAAAUCUAGACAUGGUACACUUGAAACAAUGUUGCCCAACACAGUCAAGUAUCAUUGGUUUCCCCUCAAGAGUGUCAGUUAUUUCUUAUUCUAAAGUAGGGGACUGGCCAGUUGUGAUGAUAAACAUGCAAGGCAGCUGUCAAUUUCACAAAAAGUAUUUGUCUCCAAGCAAAGAUAUGAUGAAGGCAAGUCUUUCUCUCGAACCUUCUUGUCCAAACAUUGCUCUUAGUUACAUAGACCAGCUUCCAAAUAUGGUGAAUAUUGUGCCUUCUUGCCCAGAGAAAGCUUCUGUUCUUGGAAUACCAUCAACACAUGUGCACCAGUUAGGACAGGGGUGGCCAGUUAAAACACCAGUAUUGAUGAGUACACAGCUGUCAUUUGAACAACAGUCCCUUUGUAAGGUUUCUGACAGAGAUAAAUAUGUGCAGUUUAUAUUCCCUAGCCAAGAUGCACCAGAGGAUGUACAACAAGGAUUGACAAUUGAGUCUUCAACUUGUCCCAUCGAGGUUGUCAGAGAGUUACCAUCAUCAACUUUUGAAAUCCAAGUGGAUCAGCCAUCCUCUAGAUCUAAUGGAAUUGAGAUGUUAUGUGAUGAGACCAUUCCAACCAGAUUAGAUCUUGACACAAAGAAAGCAAAAUCGGAGGUGGGCUUACCUUUGGAGAUGCAUAAAGAUGAACAGGGCUGUUGGACUGAGGCUGAAGAAGUAGCUGUUCUAGAAAAAGGAAACUUGCAUUGCAGAAUGUGGCACUCUGUACCUGACAUGCCAUUAUUCCUGAGUGUUAGGAAGAGAGAAACAAACAUGGUUUCACUACAGCCAUCAGGCCCCGUUGGAUCCGAUGCAGCAGAACCCCCAUCCCAGACCCAAAUAAAUAAUGCUGAGCAGCAGUUAGAAAAACAUCCUGCAAACACAACCAUACAAUGGGAGGAGCUGCCAAAGGCAACUACAGCGAUAACUAGAAAUACAUCAGAGGAAGAAAUGGAAAUGAUAAGAGAAAUGGUCAGUAAUGCCCCAUUGUUCCCUGAUGCUGCCAUGAUGUUAGACACUGAUGAUGAAAUGAAGACAAAGACAGAAGCUGGGAUGGCAGAUCUGUUGCCAAUGUGCCCAGCAGUUAGUGGCAUACUUGAAUUUCCUGCUACUGCUAAACAAAUGAACGAAUGCCUACUGGACAGCGAAUCUAUUCAGAAUAAUCCAUCAAAGGAUAAGGAAAUUCUAAUCACUGAGUGUGCUGUUCAUUUAAAAGGACAAGCAGAUCUAGCAGAACAAAUUGUGGAUGAAAACAAGCAGUCCUCUUGCAUGGAAACCUGUCCCAGUAUGACAAACAUUGCUGGCAUGCCAUCCAAAUUGCCCGUAAAAGAAGAAAAACACUGGCUUAUAGAUCAAAACCCAGUCUGGGAGAAACAAUCAAAAAUGAAGGAAAUAUUACUGCCAUGUUCAUCAAAUGAGGAUGAAAAGAACAAGAAGGAAAUGGUUUUUCUUGUACAGUCUUGUCCCAGACAGGCCAGAAAUCCAGGGUUCCCCUCUGUACCACAACACAGUUUACAAAUGGGAGCUUUGUUACCAACUUGCCCAAAAUAUUGUUCCACACCAGUUCCACAACCUACUAUAGUAUAUCAUGAAUCAUACAUGAUGAGUCUUUUAAGCUCUUGUCCAAAAACGUCUAGUGUUGAAGGUUUUCCGUCAUUAACGGAGCAUCAUCAAGGCUGGGCUACAGAUCACAAAGCGUUUGGGGUAAAACUGCCAAAAAUGAACAUAGCCGUGAUCGAAGAUAGACAUUACAAUGAAGAAAUGAAGGCCAUGUCAUCUUUAGCCCGAACUUGUCCAAAAGAGGCUCGCAUCCCUGGAUUUCCAUCUCUCUUGAACCUACAGUGAUCUAUAAUGGGUCUGGUAGGGUCAGUCUCCUUCCAUCUUGCCCAGCUGUCUCCAGUAUGGCUGGUUUUCCAUCAGUGCAGAAAGCUGACAGCAAAGACUGGAACACUAUUCAUCAGCCAUUAUGGGAGAAGAAAAUUAAAAAGGCUUCUGUAUUAAUCCUAAAUAACAAUAAAAUACACAAAGACAUGAAAGGAGUUGUUUCUCUUGCGCAAAGUUGCCCAAGAAAAUCCAACAUCUCUGGCUUUCCCUCUGUACCAAAACCAAGAACGAUGUAUGUUGUUGACAUGACAAAUAUGGUCAGUCUUAUAUGCUCAAAAGUGUCGCAAAUACCGGGAUUUCCAUCAUCUCAUUAUUCAAAAGACUGGACAAUGAGCAAGGAGCCACUUUUUGAACCAAGAAUGAAAGAAAAGCAGGUGUCACUGCCUGACAGAUGUGAAAGAGUUAGGAGAGUAAUGAAAGCAAUGGUUUCCCUUGCACCAUCCUGUCCAAAAGAGGCACGGAUGCCAGGAUUCCCCUCUCAUCCAAAUCCCCUAAGUGUGUAUUCUACACUAGAUAUAAUCAGCCUUUCUACAAUGUGCUCCCACGUUUCCAAAAUACCUGGAUUCCCAUCACUUGUUGGGGAUAUAAGUGUAGAGUGGGUGACAGAAAAGGGGACAGAUUUGAAGAGGCUACCAAAGAGGGAGAUCAUACUUAACACAUCAAAUGACAACAAAAUGAUAAUGAAGAAUAUGAUUUCCUGUGUACCAUCCUGCCCUAAAGUGUCAAGUAUUCCUGGUUUCCCAGCUAUCCCUAAUCCAAAAACUGUGUAUUAUGGCCCGAAUGUGGUCAACCUCCUUCCUUUGUGCCCUCUAGUUUCUACUGUAACUGGAUUUUCAUCAGUUGAAGGGCACAAGGAAAAAGGAUGGGUUGUGGAACUGGCUUCAUUGAUGCACAGACCACAAAAGAAAACUCCAUUUAGGAUUAACAGUUCACCAAUUACCACAGACAACCUAAACAACAUGAUUGCUUUGGUGCCUUCUUGUCCAGGAGCAUCAAAGAUUUCAGGCUUCCCAUCUUACCCUCGAUACAAUAUGCUGAGUCUUGUACCUGUUUGCUCCAAAGUAUCCAGUUUCCCAGGAUUUGCAUCCUUUGAAGGGGCCUCAAAAUUCCAAUGGCUUUUUGAUCCACACACUUUGUGUGACAAGCAUCCAAAGAAGACAGUGUUUGUGAUACACAGUCCAAAUCAAGAUGGAGAAACUGCAAAGUUAAUGCUGGCCAUGGUAACAAUUUGCCCAGAAGCAUCCAGGACCCCUGGGUUCCCCUCUGCACCUCACCACAAAUCCAAGAUUGAACCCAAUAUGAUAAGUUGUGUACCUUGCUGCUGCAGUGUUUCAAGUCUCAAAGGAUUUGCAUCCAUGACUACAAUCACAAGCACAGAGUGGCUAAGUGAAACAAAACCAAUUGUGAUAAAGUCACAGAAGAAGAGGGCAGACAUGAUUAUGGGACUUGCUGGACAGGACCAGCUAUAUCACAACAACAUAAAAAGCAUGGUGACAUUAGUGACAUCCUGCCCAAAAGAAGCCCGAGUAUGGGGCUUUCCUUCAGCUCAGGUUGUAAACAGACCACCAAACAUGGUCAGCUUAUACACAUCUGCUCCAUGUGUUUCAUGUGUUCCAGGUUUUCCAUCAGCGAGGAUGCUUAGCUCUGAACAUAUAAAAAUACAAACUAGGACUACACAGGGGAAGUCCUGGUUUUAUAAGCUGCGGAAUGAGAAGAUUUGUCUUAUUUCAACAGUUCCAGCAAAACAUAAACAUCAGCAAGAUGAAAUGAAGCGCAUGGUAGCAAUGACUCCAUCAUGUCCACAUUUGACUCAACUUCCUGGUUUCCCCAGCAUUUUGCAAUUGAAUCCAACUGAGAAAGACAAAUUGGCUACUCCAGUUCUGCCUUCUACUGAAAAGCAUACAACACAGGAAUUGCCUCAUGAACAGUCAACUCAGUCAUAUCUCAGCGACACAAGAAUUCCUGGUUUUCCCUCUACAUCUGUCAGCAGCUCCAGUACAAAACUUGUGCAUGUGGAGAAAUUCAAAGACGAUGCAAAGCAAAAUGUAGACCUCUCUGUAGAUGAUGGCAAAUCACAAAUAGAGAGAAUAGCAGCAGAGGAGACCCAAACAGCGAAGAAACCAUUGGACACAUCAGAGCCGUUGGGGGUCUUGGGUUGGGAAGUUUUGGAGGCAGAGGGAACAGUAACAGAAAAACAGGCAGAAGUCUCUUUGUCAACAAAGGAAGAAGAGACCUCAGGAUUAGUGAAGGCUAUUGUGGGUGUUUUCCAUAAAGGGUUUCACUCACACACUCCACUAUCCAUUUCUCACAGUUACGAAACAGUAGCAUCCAUAUUGGGGCCAUCUAGCUCUACUUUAACUGAGGCGGAUCACCAACCCAAGGCUAUCUCCUAUAGGGAACUGAUGGACAGGAGAGUGAGCCCUUCAGAUGAGUUUUUCCUACAUUUCGCAUACAACACUACUGCUAUACAGAAGAUAGAGGGCCAGUUUGAAGACAGUCACACUGAGCAAAAUGUUGAAUAUCCAACAAGUGCUGAGCCUUACAUGUGGAACUUGGUAGAUGAUCGAUCAGCAUCUCCAUCCCCAACAACCGACAGCGAUGAUGGGUUUUUAGUCUGUGCAAGCAUGAAGAAAUGGCCGCCAUUGACAGAGGCAGAUAUCACUGAAAUAUCAAAAGAAGAUAGUGAGCAAGUAGAGGAACAAGAGGCCUGUCUUGAUCAACGGCAUACAGAGAGAUCACUCAAAGGACAGGACUCUGUUCAAACAUCAGCGUACAUUGAAAGUUUGUUAGCAAGGCACGAGACUGAGGCAGAACAGGAUAAAGUUAGAACUCUGUCGUCUUCCUCACAGCUGGAUAAAGGCCCCGAACAAACAGGCAUGGAAGAAAUUUCUGCUAAUUCCCUGCAGCCCACAUCAAAUGAGUCACUAACAGAUGAAAACAAACAUAGAGACAGACCCUCAGAUGCUCAAAACAUUAGUCCAGUUGGACCACAAGCUGAUGUUGUUGUCUCUCAGCGAGGCAGAAAGCCAAAGAGAAAAGUUCCAGAACCUCAACAGAAAGCAUCUAUUCAAGAAAAAGACACAGUUCCAAUACGACCACUCAGAAGGAAGGAUAGUUUAACACCAGAUCGCAAAAAAAAACCUGAUGGUUUAUCUGUAAAGCUCCUUACUGAAGUUAUUCCAGUCCAGUCUGUAAAGAUAGAUUCUACUGGUGAAAUAAUUCCCACACAACGAGCUACUGACCUUGCUCCAUCUUCCUGCAUAAAUAAAGAAGACAAUAGCGUUCCUCUAGAUGUACCACAGAAUGGCCAUGACCAAGAAAGUGUCAGAGCUCAAGUAACAUCAUACACAGGUAACCAUAAAGACAAAGGGGAAGCAGAAUCUGUGCAAAUACCCAUGAAUUUCACUCCCCCUCCUCGUGUGAAAAGAAGAGAUGGUAGCUUGCCACCUGAAAUUGCACAGAAUUCUGCCCCUUGCAAACCCCUGAGGAGAAAAGACAGUGUCACUACAGAGAAGCUAGCUCAUGACCAGCAAGAUUUGAAAGCUCAAGUUAGUUCUGCUGCAGAAACAUCUGAUUCUGGUCCUCCUCAACCUUGUAAGAAAAGCUCUGAUGUCUCAGGCGAUCUUGAACCUUUACAGAACAUUGAUGAACCCAGUAAAACAGCCACUGAAAUGAUCCCUUCACAACCGGUGGAAAGAAAAGACCAUACAACCAAACAGUACUCUCAAGAAACCUACUGUGACCUGCAAUGGCCUACAAAAGACAUUAAUACAUCCAGCCAGGUGUCUUCUUACUUAGUUCCUCCCUCAGAAACAAAGGGAAUUGACAGCAUCACCCCAAAGGCAGAUCCAGAGAUAUUUCAUGUUGAGCAAACUGCUCCUCUCUCAAUCAUCAAGAAGAUAUGUCUUCCACAACGUGGCAAGAAAUUGCCUCCAAGCAAACCUCGCAAAAUUGUCAGUAAAGAGGAAAUCAUGGCCCAAAAUGUAAAAGUCCAGACUGACAACACUGUGGUGGGUGAUAUAGAAAAGAUAAAGCAGUCAAAGACAGCUGGUCACACAGCUGCUGAUAUAGCCAACAUCCCAUCCUCUCAGAAAUCAGAAAAUGCACCAGAGAUAGCAAAGGCAAAGAGGGACAAACAGACAACUUAUCCUAUCCCAAGACCUCGUGUGAAGAAACGUUUCAGUGGCCCCUUCCCAGAUGACUCCACAGCUACAGAGAGAACAUCUCAGACUUCCCAUGGAGAAGAGGAACAGGCAGCAAAGCAAGGUGUUCCUUCAUCUAUUUCCUCAACACCUAAAGAAAGCAAAGACCUUCCCUCUCUUCAUCUGGUUAAUCAACCUUCUACAUCUACAGAAGAAGUGGCUGGUGUACGGCUGAGGAGAAACAUAUUGACCACUGAGAGCAAUGUUCAGGUAGAGGAUGGUGUUACUUCACACAGGACCCCAGGAACCUCAAGCUUGCCUAUACCAAAACCAAGGGUAAAGAAACGUCUCAGUGAUUCCUUCCCAGAUGACACUAUAAUUUCUGGCUCACCACUUCCCUGCCAGUCAGACACCGCAGCUGAUUCGAUUGGUCAUGAAUCAGUCCAACACAAUGAACAAUCAAGUUUGCCUCUUCCACUGCCCCGGUCAAAGAAACGUCUCAGUGCGACUUAUUCAGAUAGCACACCGCCUGUAGACAGUUUACUCACUGUGGAAAUGGAAUCGUCUCAGAGAAACUCAGAGGAUACAUCUAACACCUGCAAUGAAACAAAUGAACGGCCAAUAUCGCUGGAUUCAAGUGUGAUCUCUGAAGGAGGUUUUGUCACAAUCCAAGGUGAAGAUGUUACAUCAGAGGUGGAACAGGAAGUAUUAGCAGCAAUGCAAGAAGAACACUUUCCUCGGCCAGAUUCUGUAGUAGAUACUGAAAAGCCAGAGGAUGAAAUCAUUGAAGGCUGGACUUUUACAGAUAAACCUGUAGUUUCUGAUGACUUACAGAAAGUUACAGAGACUGUACCUGUGCAGGAUGACAUUAAAAAAGUUCUGGAAGCAGAGGUUGAUAAGUCCCUUGCUUCCACUAUUGCAUUCUCUCAGGAUGACUGGCUGCAUGUAGAGGAUGAUAAAGACAGUGAACCAAUGGAAAUAACCUCACGGAAGGAAAUGAGGGAUGAAGAGUUGGACUUUGGCUUUGUGUCUGUAGAUGUAGCUGCUGGUUGUUUAGAGGAUGAAAGGCAAAGGGAGAGAGCAGCAGAUUCUUCAGGUCAGCCAGUACCUGUGUCUUGUGGCAAGAAGCGUUUGAGUGGUUCCUACCUACAUGACAGCAAGUCACAAGUUGCUGGCCUCCAUAAAACCAGUGAACCAGCAACACAGC